rnacentral:rRNA from 1 species
CGAACGCUGGCGGCGUGCUUAACACAUGCAAGUCGUGCGAGAAAGGCCCCUUCGGGGGCCGAGUAAAGCGGCGCACGGGUGAGUAACGCGUAAGUUAUCUGCCCUCUGGACUGGGAUAACUCCGGGAAACCGGGGCUAAUACCAGAUGAUGUCGCAAGACCAAAGCCUUCGGGUGCCAGAGGAUGAGCUUGCGUCCCAUUAGCUUGUUGGUAGGGUAACGGCCUACCAAGGCAACGAUGGGUAGCUGGUCUGAGAGGAUGAUCAGCCACAUUGGGACUGAGACACGGCCCAGACUCCUACGGGAGGCAGCAGUGAGGAAUAUUGCGCAAUGGACGAAAGUCCGACGCAGCAACGCCGCGUGCAGGAUGAAGGUCCUCUGGAUCGCAAACUGCUGUAGCAAGGGAAUAAUACCCGCCUCGGGCGGGUUGAAGGUACCUUGAAAGUAAGCUCCGGCUAACUACGUGCCAGCAGCCGCGGUAAUACGUAGGGAGCAAGCGUUGUCCGGAUUCACUGGGUGUAAAGGGUGCGCAGGCGGACUGUGCAAGUCGGUGGUGAAAUCUUGCGGCUUAACCGCAAAAUUGCCUCCGAUACUGUCAGUCUUGAGUUCGGGAGAGGUCGAUGGAAUUCCAGGUGUAGCGGUGAAAUGCGUAGAUAUCUGGAAGAACACCAGUAGCGAAGGCGGUCGACUGGCCCGUAACUGACGCUCAGGCACGAAAGCGUGGGUAGCAAACAGGAUUAGAUACCCUGGUAGUCCACGCCCUAAACGAUGUAUGCUUGGUGUUGGCUCGCAUGAGUCGGUG